rnacentral:miRNA from 1 species
UCACCAGCAGUGCGUCCUGCUG